UUUGGUUCAUCGGUGGUGUGGUUGUAUCUAGAGGAGGUUAAAGUUUCUCAGGCUAAAGCUCGGGGUCUAAGUUAUAAAUGCUGAUCGAAAUGAAAGAAAAGAAUAUGGCUACAUAAUUAAUUUAAGCCACGUGAUGAAAUUGAAAACCUUAAAAAUGAAAUGAGGUUUCGUCAAAUCAAAAUCUUUCAUGAUUUUCGAUAGAAUCACCCCCUCGCUCAGGCCCCGAGAGCUCCAAGAAUAUUGUUUGUUACUUUUUCUUCACAAAUUCGAGAAUGGGCAAAUCGCAUGAGAUCUCGGUACAAAUUGUACAACCCGCAUCUUUGUGCAAGUACAAUGACAAGGUCCGAUCAAAAUUUCCUCUCAGAAGAUGAAUAGUUCCCUUUCGAAGCAUGGAAUGGACCCUAGAUGAGAGAUCGAGUUCAUAAUUUAUAUUUAUAUUUUAAUAUUUUUUGGCAACUCAGCUGCAAAUAUUAAACUUGAUGCAGCUUACCGGAUCUAGGAACUACUUGCGCAGAUUCGGUAGUACUCUCAAACAGGGGCACUUACCAAUAAAGAAUAUUAUACAAAAAUGUAUAGUGGUGUUUCUUAACAAACAAGAUAUGCCGGUGUUGUUUAUUGUUUGUAGAUAAAUUACUCCCUAUUUGGUGAUUCUAUUUUUAGAGGAUUAUAUAGAUUUGUAUGUAAAUUUGAGUUUUCAUUAUAAUAUUGAUUUAUUUAUACGAUCUGCAUUCUUUUAUAAUUCCAUUAAAAGUAUAAUCUAAUUAUACUUAUAUAAAAUGAUAUCUUCUUAAAUAAUUAUAAUCCAAAAAUUGCACUUCAUUUCAAAUAAUUCAAUAUCGGAACUUGUUCUUUCAUGGCUCAACAACUUUAUAAAUGUGAACAGAAAUGAAUUAUUUCUCAAUUUCUCUAAUUAAAUAAAAUUAAUUAUUUCAACAGAAAUGAACCAAUGUUAUAAAUGUUGGACCACACGCUUCUAUUAUUUAUCAAUUUGUCCAUUCUUCAUGACAAUACGUUGCUCUCAAUCGGUCUAUAACCACACACGUCCAUUUUUUGUUUCCUAGAAACUUAUUAUUUUAUUUGUAUGUGAAAUUAAGCUUGUUGGUAAUUAUGUUCACAACGAAAGGCUUGAUAAGAGCUCGUAAUUAUAAUGUAAUACAUACCCACGCCUCUGGCACGAACGUAGUACUCUUGAUUAACUAAUUUAGAAAUUAGAAGCAACCUCCUUGACUAAUUAUAGUGUGGAUUACUCCAUAUAAUGGAGAUCAAUACUACCCGCAGUCAUUUGUUUUAAGAUCAACUAGUUGAGAAGCCGCGCGUUGCGGCGGCCAAUAAAAAUUAUAUUAAUGAUUCAAUAUUAAUAUUUAUAGAAUAAAAUAUUUUUUGGCUGUCUAUAAAAAGUAUAUUAAUGUUUCAAAGUUAAUAUUUGUACAAUAAAAUAAAUUUAUAUUAUAAAAAUCUUGAUAUAAUACCAAUACUAAUAUAUAAAAUUGCAAAAUUGGACUAUAGUUCAUGGUGAAAAAAUGAAAAAUAAAUUUAUACACGUAAUUAACAAUUUAAAGAAUGACGAAUCUUAAUUAUUUUUUUUUGAAAAGUAAUCAUGUUCUUGCAUUGUCACCUUCCUCCAAUUUUUUUAAUUGAUGGAGUAGCCUCCAAAGCGUUGUCGGACGCCUCCGUGUCGCCUUUGAGGAGUAUGGGGGCUCACCGCUGACAAAUCCGUUUGGUUCAUCGGUGGUGUGGUUGUAUCUAGAGGAGGUUAAAGUUUCUCAGGCUAAAGCUCGGGGUCUAAGUUAUAAAUGCUGAUCGAAAUGAAAGAAAAGAAUAUGGCUACAUAAUUAAUUUAAGCCACGUGAUGAAAUUGAAAACCUUAAAAAUGAAAUGAGGUUUCGUCAAAUCAAAAUCUUUCAUGAUUUUCGAUAGAAUCACCCCCUCGCUCAGGCCCCGAGAGCUCCAAGAAUAUUGUUUGUUACUUUUUCUUCACAAAUUCGAG
rnacentral:lncRNA from 1 species